GAUGAACGCUGGCGGCGUGCCUAAUACAUGCAAGUCGAGCGAACAGACGAGGAGCUUGCUCCUCUGACGUUAGCGGCGGACGGGUGAGUAACACGUGGAUAACCUACCUAUAAGACUGGGAUAACUUCGGGAAACCGGCGCUAAUACCGGAUAAUAUAUUGAACCGCAUGGUUCAAUAGUGAAAGACGGUUUUGCUGUCACUUAUAGAUGGAUCCGCGCCGCAUGAGCUAGUUGGUAAGGUAACGGCUUACCAAGGCGACGAUGCGUAGCCGACCUGAGAGGGUGAUCGGCCACACGGGAACUGAGACACGGUCCAGACUCCUACGGGAGGCAGCAGUAGGGAAUCUUCCGCAAUGGGCGAAAGCCUGACGGAGCAGCGCCGCGUGAGUGAUGAAGGUCUUCGGAGCGUAAAACUCUGUUAUUAGGGAAGAACAAAUGUGUAAGGAACUAUGCACGUCUUGACGGUACCUAAUCAGAAAGCCACGGCUAACUACGUG
rnacentral:rRNA from 1 species